AGUGAACGCUGGCGGUAGGCCUAACACAUGCCAGUCGAACGGCAGCACAGUAAGAGCUUGCUCUUACGGGUGGCGAGUGGCGGACGGGUGAGGAAUACAUCGGAAUCUACUUUUUCGUGGGGGAUAACGUAGGGAAACUUACGCUAAUACCGCAUACGACCUACGGGUGAAAGCAGGGGAUCUUCGGACCUUGCGCGAUUGAAUGAGCCGAUGUCGGAUUAGCUAGUUGGCGGGGUAAAGGCCCACCAAGGCGACGAUCCGUAGCUGGUCUGAGAGGAUGAUCAGCCACACUGGAACUGAGACACGGUCAAGACUCCUACGGGAGGCAGCAGUGGGGAAUAUUGGACAAUGGGCGCAAGCCUGAUCCAGCCAUACCGCGUGGGUGAAGAAGGCCUUCGGGUUGUAAAGCCCUUUUGUUGGGAAAGAAAAGCAGCAGGUUAAUACCCCGCUGUUCUGACGGUACCCAAAAAAUAAGCACCGGCUAACUUCGUG
rnacentral:rRNA from 1 species